rnacentral:lncRNA from 1 species
GCCUGAGCCUCUCAGCUCAAAGAUCCUCUCAGCUCAGAAUUCCUCACAGCUCGGAGCUCCUCACAGCCUGAGCCUCACAGCUCAAAGAUCCUCUCAGCUCAGAAUUCCUCACAGCUCGGAGCUCCUCACAGCCUGAGCCUCUCAGCUCAGAGCUCCUCACAGCUCAGAGCUCCUCUCAGCUCACAGCUCCUCUCAGCUCAGAGCUCCUCACAGCUCAGAAUUCCUCACAGCUCAGAGCUCCUCUCAGCCUGAGCCUCUCAGCUCAGAGCUCUUCUCAGUUCAGAACUCCUCACAGCUAGAACCUCUCAGCUCAGAGCUCCUCUCAGCCUGAGCCUCUCAGCUCAGAGCUCCUCUCAGCUCACAGCUCCUCUCAGCUCAGAGCUCCUCUCAGCUCACAGCUCCUCUCAGCUCAGAGCUUCUUUCAGCUCAGAGCUCCUCACAGCCUGAGCCUCUCAGCUCAGAGCUCCUCUCAGCUCAAAGAUCCUCACAGCUCAGAAUUCCUCACAGCUCGGAGCUCCUCACAGCUCAGAGCUCCUCUCAGCUCAGAGCUCCUCACAGCUCACAGUUCCUCUCAGCCUGAGCCUCUCAGCUCAGAGCUCCUCACAGCUCAGAGCUCCUCACAGCUCAGAGCUCCUUUCAGCCUUUGCUUCUCCUCCGGGCCGCUCUCUCUGCCGCAGGAGGAGCCGGCAUCCACCUCCCGCUCCGCACCCCGCAUCCAGCCGCGACAGGCCGGCAGAAAAUAUCAAAAAUCCGGCCGGGAGAGGAGCGGAGGGGAGGCAAGGGGGAGGAAGAGCAAGCCCGGCACCUUUGGCGCUUCUAGAAGGAGCAAGAGCAACCAAAGGCAUUCACGGGGAAAAAAUAGCACAGGGCGAAGGAGAGCCUGGGGAGAUGCAAAUCCGAGAGAGGAGCAGCCCACGGUGGGACGGGAGCCAAGGCUGCGGAGCAAGGGCCGGAGCCGCGGGGAUGCCCCGAACGCCGGGGAAAGCAAAGGCUGCGAGCGCAGGCUCCUUGCUGCACGGCCGGGGCUUGCACACGCGUGUGCACACCCGCGUGGGGCCGCGGCUGCGGGAGGGAUGCUGG